UUUGAAGAUACAUUAUUUAUCUCUUUACUUUUUGUGCUCUCCAUCUAUAGAUUUGAUGCUGUUAUCAUAUCGUCAGAAGUUGGACAUGAAAAACCAGAUAUAAAGAUAUUCAGAGCUGCUUUAGAUCAGAUCAGUGUGGAAGCAAUAAAAACUGUUCACGUCGGAGAUGAUGAAAAGGCUGAUAAAGGGGGAGCAACUGCUGCUGGAAUUGACUGCUGGCAAUGGGGUGUAGAUGUGAAGUCGUUCGCAGAUAUACAAAACCACAUUCUAACAGCGCCCUAGCUUUUUUUCAUAAUGGCUCUACCAUCUGGAUGAUACAACUUGACUACAAUCAAGUAUUACUUAUAGAGGAAGCAUCAAAAUACUGUUCGUCUUUGGGUGCCGAGGUGUUAUCGUUUAAUCAUCUAUGCUUCAGUUCUAAAUUAUAAAGUUAGGCUAUAGAGGCUUUUUAUUAGCAUCAUGCUUGGAGUUUUGCAUACUUGUACUGUUAUUAGACCAUGAUAAUAAGAGAAACAUCUAUGAGCAUCCAAAGUUGUUUUUGGAGGGAAUGAUUCAGUAAGCAAUCUGAAAACUCACCCCAAACGUUCAUUCCUUUUGAAUUCCCAGUUUUAAUCACAGCCUACUUUGGUUGUACUCAACUCUUUACAGUUUAAGUAUAUUUGUUGUUUGGUGUGAUUUGUAAAACUAGUUGAAGUAAGUAGCCUGUAAGCUAAUUUGGAGAA